GUGGGGAAUAUUGGACAAUGGGCGAAAGCCUGAUCCAGCAAUGCCGCGUGAGUGAUGAAGGCCUUAGGGUUGUAAAGCUCUUUUACCCGGGAAGAUAAUGACUGUACCGGGAGAAUAAGCCCCGGCUAACUCCGUGCCAGCAGCCGCGGUAAUACGGAGGGGGCUAGCGUGGUUCGGAAUUACUGGGCGUAAAGCUCACGUAGGCGGUUUUGUAAGUUAGAGGUGAAAGCCUGGGGCUCAACACCAGAAUUGCCUUUAAGACUGCAUCACUUGAACGUCCGAGAGGUGAGUGGAAUUCCGAGUGUAGAGGUGAAAUUCGUAGAUAUUCGGAAGAACACCAGUGGCGAAGGCGGCUUUCUGGACUGACCCUGACGCUGAGGUGCGAAAGCGUGGGUAGCAAACAGGAUUAGAAACCCCGGUAGUCC
rnacentral:rRNA from 1 species